UCAGGAACAUUGCAUGGUUAGAGUUCUGAAGUGCAAGGAUUCUAAGUGCAUUCAGCUGAGCACACAAAGAAUCCUGUUUCAGUUCUUCCACCCAAUGAGCAGGAAGGUCUGAUUCUUUAGCCGGAGGGGAUAGGGAUGUUGGCGGCAGGGCUAGUGCUUGCUGCUCUGCUCCUCCCUCAACACAUUUUCAGAGUUUUACACUGUGUUGCAGGCCCACCAUGCGUGCAAAAAGAACCAUAAUUCCAACAGCCUCUGCAACAUAAUGGGGGCAAAGUCUUACUUAUAUUAGACAGUUGCACUGGGAACCAAUGGCAGCAGAGAAGGACCUUAAGGCAUGCCUCUUGAAGGUAUUCCCUGCAGUGAUGAUGGACCACAGGAAAUCUCAAGUUUUAUGCAUACAGCAACUCUAAUUUUACUGCAGAAGAAUAGGCAACACCUCUGUCACCCAAUCUGCCACUCCAAAAGUACAGGGAACCAAAUAGCAGACACACACCUUUGAAAUGAUGCUGAAUUAAAAUCUUAAAACAAAGCAAGCCUUCUUCAUAUUUUUGGUAUAUGAGGUAAGAAAUAAAAGGAGAAAUGCAGGGCAGAUACUGCCA